rnacentral:rRNA from 1 species
UACGUAGGGAGCGAGCGUUGUCCGGAAUUACUGGGUGUAAAGGGUGCGUAGGCGGGAAAGCAAGUCCGACGUGAAAUGCCGGGGCUCAACUCCGGAGCUGCGUUAGAAACUGUUUUUCUUGAGUGAAGUAGAGGCAGGCGGAAUUCCUAGUGUAGCGGUGAAAUGCGUAGAUAUUAGGAGGAACACCAGUGGCGAAGGCGGCCUGCUGGGCUUUAACUGACGCUGAGGCACGAAAGCAUGGGGAGCAAACA